UACAGAGGUGGCAAGCGUUGUUCGGAAUUACUGGGCGUAAAGGGCGCGUAGGCGGCCUUCUAAGUCAGACGUGAAAUCCCCCGGCUUAACCUGGGAACUGCGUCUGAUACUGGGAGGCUUGAGUAUGGGAGAGGGAUGUAGAAUUCCAGGUGUAGCGGUGAAAUGCGUAGAUAUCAGGAGGAACACCUGUGGCGAAAGCGGCUCACUGGACCACAACUGACGCUGAGGCGCGAAAGCUAGGGGAGCAAACAGG
rnacentral:rRNA from 1 species